AGCUUCAAGUGGAUCAAGAGCAAGCUCGUUGAUGACUAUUUUGAUGCGUGAUCUUCUUCUUCUUCUGCUUUUUUAAUUUAAUUUGUCAUCAUGCUUUUGGUUAUAAUUUGGAUGCUUAAAUUAAUAUAAAUCAAAUCAAAGUUAAUUUGUAAUUGUGAUGUUUAUUGUAUAUUAUGUACAAGCAAAGGAUCAUCUUUAAAUUUUAUGAGUAUAAUAUGUUAAAUUUAAUUUA
rnacentral:misc_RNA from 1 species